rnacentral:rRNA from 1 species
GUGAGGAAUAUUGGUCAAUGGACGAGAGUCUGAACCAGCCAAGUCGCGUGAAGGAAGACGGAUCUAUGAAUUGUAAACUUCUUUUGUGCAGGAAUAAAGUGGGUUACGUGUAACCUUUUGUAUGUACUGUACGAAUAAGGAUCGGCUAACUCCGUGCCAGCAGCCGCGGUAAUACGGAGGAUCCGAGCGUUAUCCGGAUUUAUUGGGCGUAAAGGGCGCGUAGGCGGGAAGGUGUGUUGACGUGUAAAUCUAUCGUGUCAAGCGGUAGGCUUGGGUUGAAACUGACUUUCUAGAUGAUUUCAGGGGAGGUUGGAAUUUACGGUGUAGCAGUGAAAUGCGUGGAUAUCGUAAGGAAGGCUUGUGGCGAAGGCGAAACUCUGGAGAAUACCUGACGCUGAGGCGCGAAGGCUAGGUUAGCAAACGGGAUUAGAUACCCCUGUAGUCC